rnacentral:rRNA from 1 species
UACAGAGGGGGCAAGCGUUAUUCGGAAUUAUUGGGCGUAAAGGGCGCGUAGGCGGCUUUGCAAGUGACGGGUGAAAUCCCUCGGCUUAACCGAGGAACUGCCUGUCAAACUGCAUGGCUUGAGACCGGGAGAGGUGAGUGGAAUUCCCAGUGUAGCGGUGAAAUGCGUAGAUAUUGGGAGGAACACCAGUGGCGAAGGCGGCUCACUGGACCGGUACUGACGCUGAUGCGCGAAAGCUAGGGGAGCAAACGGG